rnacentral:rRNA from 1 species
AUACGGAGGGUGCAAGCGUUAAUCGGAAUUACUGGGCGUAAAGCGUGCGCAGGCGGUUUGUUAAGUCAGAUGUGAAAGCCCCGGGCUCAACCUGGGAACUGCAUUUGAAACUGGCAAACUAGAGUGUGGUAGAGGGAAGUGGAAUUCCUCAUGUAGCGGUGAAAUGCGUAGAUAUGAGGAGGAACACCAGUGGCGAAGGCGACUUCCUGGACCAACACUGACGCUCAUGUACGAAAGCGUGGGUAGCAAACAGGAUUAGAAACCCCAGUAGUCC